UGACACAUGCAUUUGGUCCAUUUUAAAAGAAAACAGUAAAGAACAAAAUUUUGAUGAAUUCAGUUAAACAACAGUAUGCAGUGCUAAGCGAGAUGGGUUUUGAAAAAAUAAAAGGUUUUCUUAACAUCUUCGCAGGUCUAGGUGGAUUUGUCCCGCAACCACAUCGUCACUUGUUGGAAAGUCCCUGAACAGUUGUGAACUAGGUCCCAUAGCAGGUGACAUGAAUACACAAGGAAAUCAAGUGCAAAUAAGAAAGAUUGGUAAAGAAGAAAAUAAACAAAGGAGCAAACAAGGAAAGAAAGGAGCAAAGAAAGAAUGAAAUAAAUUAGCAAAGAAGGAUAGAAAUAAAAAAGAAGAAAUAGAGUUUAAAGAGGAUUCAAAGUUUCAUUAUAUGAUGUAAUCUCCUUAUAAGGAAAGGAAUCACCUAAUUCCUUACAGGAAACCAUAUUCCAUUUAGAGAAAGAGUCCUAGUCCAUGAUAUUCUAGGGUAUGACAAAUCUCCACUAUAUAUAUGGCAUGAAAAUCAUUGAGAGCCGCACCUAUUGCACAUCCACGAAAUAUAUCAUCUUGAGAACAAUAGCCAUCAAAGCAAAAACUGCAGGACCUCAUCACAGCAAAAUAGAAACCUGCUUCACAGUUUCUGUUCGAAUUUGCAUUACUGAAAGUUGAAGUUUGAGAAGUUUAAGGCUAGAGUUAGUAGUUUUUGUUGAUAUCACCAGUUGGAGUAAAUUGAUGAGUUUUGAGUCUGUAAUAGGAUAGAUUCUGAGUUGUAAUCUUUUCUAUUAUUGAACGUUGUGAGUCUGAGUAAUAAGAAGUGGGUUUGACUUGUUGUUUGUGAGGCGUUGUAACAAGAAGUGGGUUUGACUUCUUGGAGUGCUCAUAUAGUGGGUUAAACAAUUGUAGUAAACUGUUGAGUUGUGAGUUAAGAGUUCGGUUCUAGGAUUGCGGAGUUGUAAUCUUGAACAAAGCUCUUUGAAAUUCGU